CUGAUUAAUUUUGUCAGCGGUUAAAUACUUGUCUCAAAGGGCAAGCCAUGUAUGUUUAAGUCCAAAUAAACCUAUAAUGGUGACAGCUAUAAUGUAAUUGAUGUUGAUUAUUCAACCUGGAUAACUGUAGUAAUCCUAGAGCUAAUAUAUACAUCAAAGCUCCGAAUUUAGAACGAGUUCAUCUAUUAAAUUAAAAUCAGUCGGGUUAUUAGCCCGUUAAUUGGUGACUCUGAAAUAGCUAUGGCUGAUCGCAUGGUCUUGUACUGGCGACAUAUCUAUCAAGCUGUCUGACUUAUUUCGAUGGUAAUUUAUGUAAUGUACCAUGGUUGUAACGGGUAACGGAGAAUAAGGGUUCGACUCCGGGGACAGUGUCUGAGAAACAGCUGCCACAUCCAAAGAAGGUAGCAGACGCACAAAUUACCUACUCUCAGAAUGAGGUAGUGAAAGAAAAUAAUGGGACCGUUCUCUUUGAGGUCGAUUAUCAGAACAAUGAUUUAUGAGAGGGCAAGUCUGGUUCUGCCAGUAGCUGCGAUGAUACCAGCUCUCAAAAUGUGUAUC
rnacentral:ncRNA from 1 species